UGAGGUUUGACCCUGAAUGCUUGGGUCUAGGUAGUUGGAGAUUGUUAUGCCGGUGGUGACAGUGAGCAGCAUUGGUCAACAAGGUUUCAGUAGUUGUGCUUGUGCAAGACGUGCUGCAGGUGUGCUCCAAUCCUCCCCGUCUCUCUUAGAUGCUUCACAUGUUUCACAAGCAAUUUAAGAACUGAUAACUCCAUUUGUUACUUAAUCCAUACAUGAACCGAGCUGUUUUAUUGUAUGCUUUGUGCAGAACUUCCUGGGCAAAUAUGUUAUAGUAAGCAUGUAUGCACCUGACUUCCUGAUCUUAUUUCGACUAUAUACAUCUUUUUUUUUGUUUCUUCAGCUAGAGUUUGUUUACUAUAUAACUAAGUAAUAAACAGUACGGAAAUAGGCGGUUCUCCUCUUUCAUAUGCAUGUUUAGGAACCAUAUUGACCUGUUUCAUAUGUUGUGGGCUCAGUUUUUUUCAUCAAUGGCACCUAUGGUAUGGACUUUGUUUCACUAACAACACUCCUUGAUUUUUUUUUUGCUUCAACAAAUUUGAUUCAUUUUUAAGGUUUAUGACAAAGUGGAGAUGGAGGACUCCCGACGACGAAUGCAUGACGCUGAGGUGCUAACUGUUGGUUCUCUUGAAUGUUAUAUUGUUUUUCCCCUUGAAGAUAUUCAAAGUUUUAAAUAGCGCGCUAAGCAUCUUAGCGCCGGACCUCUUUCAAAUGCUAUAGCGUGCUAUAGCGGAGCUAUAGCGCGCUAUUUAAAAUGUUUGUUCAUUUGUUUGGACCAAAGUCUCUUAGCGCAAGAUCUUUUGUAAACGCUAUAGCGUGCUAUAGCGGAGUUAUAGCGGGCUAUUUGAAACAGUGAAGAUAUUACACAUAACUUAAAUGGGAAAACACCUUGCGGCUUGGAUGUUUAUAGUGAGGUGUCAAGAAAUCUAGCUUCUAGAUUAUUAUAUACAUGUUUCCUAUUUUAUCCUGUUUGCGUAACACAAUAGGCAAGGAAUCUUUUAGUUCUUUGCAUCAACGUGUCUGUACCAUGUACUCCCUCAGUUCGAAAUUACUCGUCCAAGAAAUGAAUGUAUCUAGAUGUAUUUUAGUUCUAGAGACAUCCAUUUUUAUGACAAGUAAUUCCGAACGGAGGGAGUAUUUGAUUUUGUCUUGGUACACACAUGACUUGAUCAUGUGAAUGAUCAACACGAGUCACAUUAUGGUAGUUCUUUUACAAUUACAAGUAAUAGAAAUUAAUUAAUCCCUCCUCCUACUGUAUGGAGGUUGCCUCUACAAGCAAGAGAAAUUAGCGAAUGCCUCCUCCUACUGUAUAGAGGUUGCCUUAACAUAUUCCCUCAUUAGUUUUCAGUCUCCUACUGUUACGGUUUAAUUUCCUUGGAGUUUCUUUGUGAUAGUCUAAUGGGCAGUCAUUGUUUCUUCUAUGCAUGAAAGCACAAAUUGUGAAGGAAAUAAAAUGCAUGUGUGUGUGCGUGUGUGUGCAUGCACGCAUGUGUGUAUAUGUUCUGUUUACUCUCUCUUUCCCCCCUCUGAUUUGUCCACCAAACUGUUGGGUUCACUUGAAGGCAAGGAUGUUAUUGAUUUACUCUAGCAGGAAUUUUUAUAGAAAAUAUAUAGUUUUUCUUAACGACGAGGGCUCACCCUUGGAUUUCUGUUAUCAUAAAUAGGUGUCCUAUAGGGGAUACAAAGUAUAUAGCGCUUUUUUUUAGUUUUUGCUUUGUGUCUUUCAUUUUCAGUUGGUCUAUUAGUGUAGUUCUUAUUGAACUUCUUUUGGAAAGGAGGCCAGUAAGAAGAUGACACCAUCCAUCUCAGUGCCAUUGAUUUUUUGCUUGGGUAAUUAAACAUUCAGUAUACAUAGAGUAUUUUCUUUUUUUUCGCCACUGAAAUCCAUGGUACUAAGCUAUUUGCUUAAUCUAUUAACAUCUGACAUACUUCAUAGGUUAGGAAAAUGCAACCUAUGCCUCACCUAAUUGAUAUAUUAAACCUCCCUACCAUAAUCAGAACUGGCAUGAUGUAGAACUCACAUGGUGUAACCUGUUACAAAGGGGGGAAAUAUAAUUUUGUUAUUUUGUAUAUUUUGUUAUUUGGUUUUGAUAUGAAGAACCAAGCGGCACCUAGCUUUUCAUCGAUCUCUCUGUCAUUGUUCAUUAUCUAGAACCAUGCAUGAUAUUGCAUCUGGGCACUUAAAUCUCGGUUUUAGUUUUGUAGGUUGUGCAUAUCCGAGAUGGAAAUCAUCUUGCUCUAUCAUUUGGUGGGCUCAAUCUCGGCAGCAAAAUUUUUUGUUGCUCUAUUAUGGGGUUGUUUUGAUUGAUACCAGACGCUAGAUUAUUAAAUCACUACUUUAGACAUGCACUUUGUGCCAUUUUGUGGUAAUGACUAAAUAUGUCUUGUUUGUCAUACUUUUGGUAUAUAUAUGCUGCCUUGCCCUUUGGCAAUGCUGUGUUUUGGUGUAAAUUUAUUGUCCUGGUCUAAUCCAUUCUGAGCAAUCACUUUAUUUCCCUUUGGAUGUGGAGCAACACUGGAUGUGGAGCUGCGCCGGAGUAGCGGAGCGGUGGAUCUGCGGCGGUGCCGUCGUCCUCACGUUGUCAUCAUCCUCACGACUCCACGCUUG
rnacentral:lncRNA from 1 species